rnacentral:rRNA from 1 species
GAUGAACGCUGGCGGCGUGCUUAACACAUGCAAGUCGAACGAUGAACCUCACUUGUGGGGGGAUUAGUGGCGAACGGGUGAGUAACACGUGAGUAACCUGCCCUUAACUCUGGGAUAAGCCUGGGAAACUGGGUCUAAUACCGGAUAUGACUCCUCAUCGCAUGGUGGGGGGUGGAAAGCUUUUUGUGGUUUUGGAUGGACUCGCGGCCUAUCAGCUUGUUGGUGAGGUAAUGGAUCACCAAGGCGACGACGGGUAGCCGGCCUGAGAGGGUGACCGGCCACACUGGGACUGAGACACGGCCCAGACUCCUACGGGAGGCAGCAGUGGGGAAUAUUGCACAAUGGGCGAAAGCCUGAUGCAGCGACGCCGCGUGAGGGAUGACGGCCUUCGGGUUGUAAACCUCUUUCAGUAGGGAAGAAGCGAAAGUGA